rnacentral:rRNA from 1 species
AUUGAACGCUGGCGGCAUGCCUUACACAUGCAAGUCGAACGGCAGCACGGGGGCAACCCUGGUGGCGAGUGGCGAACGGGUGAGUAAUACAUCGGAACGUAUCCAGUCGUGGGGGAUUAACCAGUCGAAAGAUUGGGCUAAUACCGCAUGAGAUCGAAAGAUGAAAGCGGGGGACCCGUCAAGGGCCUCGCGCGAUCGGAGCGGCCGAUGUCGGAUUAGCUAGUUGGCGGGGAAGAGCCCACCAAGGCGACGAUCCGUAGCUGGUUUGAGAGAACGACCAGCCACACUGGGACUGAGACACGGCCCAGACUCCUACGGGAGGCAGCAGUGGGGAAUUUUGGACAAUGGGGGCAACCCUGAUCCAGCCAUGCCGCGUGUGUGAAGAA